rnacentral:pre_miRNA from 1 species
UAUGUACUCCCUCCGUCCGAAAAUACUUGUCAUCAAAAUGAAUAAAAGAAGAUGUAUCUAGACAUAUUUUAGUUCUAGAUACAUCUCUUUUUAUCCAUUUUGAUGACAAGUAUUUCCGGACGGAGGGAGUACUAU